AAAUCAUAAUCUUCAAUCAAUAUUUAACGCCAAACGCUCCCACAAAUAGCAAGCCCCUAAAAUAGGAUCGAAUCUAGACUAAAAAUAUUUACGAUUUCUAAUUCCUAAUAUCAUCAGAGUUGACAGCAAAAGCUAUUUCCGGCGAAUGGUUUUAGUUGUCGCCGAAAGGAAGGAAAGAGAAAGGCGGCACCAUGGCUGGUGAUUGCCAGAUUUUGGGACAGCAUGGCGUAAAGAUUGGUCAACAGGGGGGUCGACGACGUUAUUAUUAGUGGUUACCGGUUUUGGGGUGACGGGAAAAGGGAAAUGGUGACGUAGCAAUGGUCACCGGGAAAGGGAGAAGGGUGGAGCCAUAGGGCUUUGCCGGUGGAUCUGAAUGGGAAAAGGGGAAGGAAAGACCAUCGCGAUGGCGCUGUCGUUCUGUCGGCUAGCAGCGGUGGGGAAAGACGAGGGAACGUGGCAUCGGAUUCCAUGGCUAAGGACGACUCCUACAUAACUUUUCACCGAAAAGAGUGGAAGAAAACUGUUUGGCCAUUUUUUUUCAUUCAUUGAAUUUUGUCUCGAUUUUCCUUGCUUUGUUCACUCUCUUUCGCUAUUUCGUUGUUUAUAUCAGUAUCUGCGUAUGUGUACAACGUUGACAAAAAUGUGAAUUGUAUGAAUAAUGUAAACAUUGAAUUCAUUUUUUAAUAAAUAAUAAUUAUAUACAAUAUUUAAGCAUUCAA
rnacentral:lncRNA from 1 species